rnacentral:rRNA from 1 species
UAGGGAAUCUUCCGCAAUGGACGAAAGUCUGACGGAGCAACGCCGCGUGAGUGAAGAAGGAUUUCGGUUCGUAAAACUCUGUUGUUAGGGAAGAAAAAAUGUAUAGUAACUAUAUACAAAAGAGACGGUACCUAACCAGAAAGCCACGGCUAACUACGUGCCAGCAGCCGCGGUAAUACGUAGGUGGCAAGCGUUGUCCGGAAUUAUUGGGCGUAAAGCGCGCGCUGGUGGUUUAGAAAGUCUGAUGUGAAAGCCCACGGCUCAACCGUGGAGGGUCAUUGGAAACUAAUAAACUUGAGUGCAGGAGAGAAAAGUGGAAUUCCUAGUGUAGCGGUGAAAUGCGUAGAGAUUAGGAGGAACACCGGUGGCGAAAGCGGCUUUUUGGCCUGCAACUGACACUGAGGCGCGAAAGCGUGGGGAGCAAACAGG